AGAGUUUGAUCAUGGCUCAGAGCGAACGCUGGCGGCGUGCUUAACACAUGCAAGUCGAGUGCGCGCCUGUAGCAAUACAGGUGGCGCACGGCGCACGGGUGCGUAACACGUGGGCAAUCUGCCCUCUGAUGGGGAAUAACCCCGCGAAAGCGGGGCUAAUACCGCAUAACAUUCCUUGGACUACGGUUCGAGGACUCAAAGGCGUAAGUCGUCGGAGGAGGAGCCCGCGCACGAUUAGCUAGUUGGUAGGGUAACGGCCUACCAAGGCUUUGAUCGUUAGCUGGUCUGAGAGGAUGGCCAGCCACACUGGAACUGAGACACGGUCCAGACUCCUACGGGAGGCAGCAGUGGGGAAUCUUGCACAAUGGGCGAAAGCCUGAUGCAGCGACGCCGCGUGGGGGAUGAAGCUUCUCGGAGUGUAAACCCCUUUCGACCCGGACGAAUACCUCGCAAGAGGGGUGACGGUACGGGUAUAAGAAGCCCCGGCUAACUACGUGCCAGCAGCCGCGGUAAGACGUAGGGGGCCAGCGUUGCUCGGAAUUACUGAGUGUAAAGGGUUCGUAGGCGGUGUGGCAAGUCGGGAGUGAAAUCUCUGGGCUUAACUCAGAGACUGCUUCCGAAACUGCUGUGCUUGAGUG
rnacentral:rRNA from 1 species